UACGAACCAUCCAAACGUUAUUCGGAAUUACUGGGCUUAAAGGGUGCGUAGGCUGCGCAGAAAGUUGGGUGUGAAAUCCCUCGGCUUAACCGAGGAACUGCGUCCAAAACUACUGUGCUUGAGGGAGACAGAGGUGAGCGGAACUUAGGGUGGAGCGGUGAAAUGCGUUGAUAUCCUAAGGAACACCUGUGGCGAAAAGCGGCUCACUGGGGUCUCUUCUGACGCUGAGGCACGAAAGCUAGGGGGAGCGAAACGGGG
rnacentral:rRNA from 1 species